UAGGGAAUCUUCCGCAAUGGACGAAAGUCUGACGGAGCGACGCCGCGUGAGUGAUGAAGGUCUUCGGAUCGUAAAACUCUGUUGUUAGGGAAGAAUAAGUAUCGGAGUAAUAUGCCGGUACCUUGACGGUACCUAACCAGAAAGCCCCGGCUAACUACGUGCCAGCAGCCGCGGUAAUACGUAGGGGGCAAGCGUUGUCCGGAAUUAUUGGGCGUAAAGGGCACGCAGGCGGUUGUCUAAGUCUGAUGUGAAAUCUUGCAGCUUAACUGCAAGCGGCCAUUGGAAACUGGAUAACUUGAGUGCAGAAGAGGAGAGUGGAAUUCCACGUGUAGCGGUGAAAUGCGUAGAGAUGUGGAGGAACACCAGUGGCGAAGGCGGCUCUCUGGUCUGUAACUGACGCUGAGGUGCGAAAGCGUGGGUAGCGAACAGGAUUAGAUACCCUGGUAGUCCACGCCGUAAACGAUGAGUGCUAGGUGUUAGGGGGUUUCCGCCCCUUAGUGCUGGAGUUAACGCAUUAAGCACUCCGCCUGGGGAGUACGGCCGCAAGGCUGAAACUCAAAGGAAUUGACGGAGUACGUAC
rnacentral:rRNA from 1 species